AUAAUUACCUGACAGGGGAGAGACCAUGAUCAUGAAGAUAGUUUAUUCAUUGCACUCUGGAUGUGCUGACCUCUGUGAUUUCCCCAAACGUGGGAAACAUGACUACAUGAUUUGUGGUAGUGGGGGAAAAACAUGAAAAGGGAUCACAUUUUGGAAUCCAG
rnacentral:snRNA from 1 species